rnacentral:rRNA from 1 species
UACGAAGGGGGGCUAGCGUUGUUCGGAAUUACUGGGCGUAAAGCGCACGUAGGCGGAUUGUUAAGUCAGAGGUGAAAUCCCGGAGCUCAACUUCGGAACUGCCUUUGAUACUGGCAAUCUAGAGUCCGGAAGAGGUUAGUGGAAUUCCCAGUGUAGAGGUGAAAUUCGUAGAUAUUGGGAAGAACACCAGUGGCGAAGGCGGCUAACUGGUCCGGUACUGACGCUGAGGUGCGAAAGCGUGGGGAGCAAACAGG